GGAGUGGCUCGAGUGAUCGCCGGUGCGCUCUCUCCGGAGGGCGCACGGGAGGAAAGUCCGAGCUCCACAGGGCGGGAUGCCAGUCAACGGCUGGUGGGGGCGACCCCGAGGAAAGUGCAACAGAGAGCAGUCCGCCGCCCCCUCUCUCCUUCGGGGGAGAGGCAUCGCGGUAAGGGUGAAACGGUGAGGUAAGAGCUCACCGGGCCGCUGGUAACAGGGGCUGCACGGCAAACCCCAUCCGGAGCAAGACCGAAUAGGGGAGCGUUCGAGGACGGCCCGUCCGAGCUCCCGGGUGUGUCGCAGGAGGCGCGCGGCGACGCGCGUCCUAGAGGAAUGAUCGCUGCUCCGCUCGCGGCGACGCGAGCAGAGGACAGAACUCGGCUUAUGAGCCACUCCGACC
rnacentral:RNase_P_RNA from 1 species